rnacentral:rRNA from 1 species
GUGGGGAAUCUUGCGCAAUGGGCGAAAGCCUGACGCAGCCAUGCCGCGUGAAUGAUGAAGGUCUUAGGAUUGUAAAAUUCUUUCACCGGGGACGAUAAUGACGGUACCCGGAGAAGAAGCCCCGGCUAACUUCGUGCCAGCAGCCGCGGUAAUACGAAGGGGGCUAGCGUUGCUCGGAAUUACUGGGCGUAAAGGGCGCGUAGGCGGACAGUUUAGUCAGAGGUGAAAGCCCAGGGCUCAACCUUGGAAUUGCCUUUGAUACUGGCUGUCUUGAGUACGGGAGAGGUUAGUGGAACUCCGAGUGUAGAGGUGAAAUUCGUAGAUAGUCGGAAGAACACCAGUGGCGAAGGCGACUCACUGGCCCGUUACUGACGCUGAGGCGCGAAAGCGUGGGGAGCAAACAGGAUUAGAAACCCCUGUAGUCC